AUACGGAGGGUGCGAGCGUUAAUCGGAAUUGCUGGGCGUAAAGCGCGCGUAGGUGGUUAAUUAAGUCAGAUGUGAAAGCCCAGGGCUCAACCUUGGAACUGCAUUUGAAACUGGUUGACUAGAGUUUUGUAGAGGGUGGUAGAAUUUCAGGUGUAGCGGUGAAAUGCGUAGAGAUCUGAAGGAAUACCAGUGGCGAAGGCGGCCACCUGGACAAAGACUGACACUGAGGCGCGAAGGCGUGGGGAGCAAACGGGAUUAGAAACCUCAGUAGUCC
rnacentral:rRNA from 1 species